AGUAAUGUUGGAGUUUAGGGCUUUAACAUGUGUAUUUUGGGGAAAACAUUCAUUACAUAGCAGUGGGUCAUAAUUUAUUUAACUAUUUUCUGUUUUUGGGAAUUUAUAUUGUUUUAUUUUCUUCAAGGUUGCUUUUAAGGGUGACCCAGAAGCAGCCCUAAUCCAAUAUCUUACCAAUGAGGAGGCCAGGAAAGCCAUUUCUAGCACAGAAGCAGUUCUAAACAACCGAUUCAUUCGAGUCUUGUGGCAUAGGGAAAAUAAUGAGCAACCGACACUACAGUCCUCAGCACAGCUGCUCCUGCAACAACAGCAAACACUUAGUCACCUCUCACAGCAGCACCAUCACCUGCCACAGCAUCUACAUCAGCAGCAGGUGCUAGUGGCCCAGUCUGCUCCUUCAACAGUGCACGGAGGUAUCCAGAAGAUGAUGAGCAAACCACAGACAUCAGGUGC
rnacentral:lncRNA from 10 species